GACGAACGCUGGCGGCGUGCCUAAUACAUGCAAGUAGAACGCACAGUUUAUACCGUAGCUUGCUACACCAUAGACUGUGAGUUGCGAACGGGUGAGUAACGCGUAGGUAACCUGCCUGGUAGCGGGGGAUAACUAUUGGAAACGAUAGCUAAUACCGCAUAAUAUUGAUUAUUGCAUGAUAAUUGAUUGAAAGAUGCUAUUGCAUCCCUACCAGAUGGACCUGCGUUGUAUUAGCUAGUAGGUGAGGUAACGGCUCACCUAGGCGACGAUACAUAGCCGACCUGAGAGGGUGAUCGGCCACACUGGGACUGAGACACGGCCCAGACUCCUACGGGAGGCAGCAGUAGGGAAUCUUCGGCAAUGGACGAAAGUCUGACCGAGCAACGCCGCGUGAGUGAAGAAGGUUUUCGGAUCGUAAAGCUCUGUUGUAAGAGAAGAACGGGUGUGAGAGUGGAAAGUUCACACUGUGACGGUAUCUUACCAGAAAGGGACGGCUAACUACGUG
rnacentral:rRNA from 1 species